CAGAGGGUGCAAGCGUUGUUCGGAAUUAUUGGGCGUAAAGCGCGUGUAGGCGGGAUGGCAAGUCGGGUGUGAAAGCCCUCAGCUCAACUGAGGAAGUGCGCCCGAAACUACCGUUCUUGAGUGUCGGAGAGGGUGGCGGAAUUCCCGGUGUAGAGGUGAAAUUCGUAGAUAUCGGGAGGAACACCAGUGGCGAAGGCGGCCACCUGGACGAACACUGACGCUGAGACGCGAAAGCGUGGGGAGCAAACAGGAUUAGAUACCCUGGUAGUCCACGCCGUAAACGAUGAUUGCUAGCUGUUGCGGGUGUUGACCCCUGCAGUGGCGCAGCCAACGCAUUAAGCAAUCCGCCUGGGAAGUACGGCCGCAAGGCUA
rnacentral:rRNA from 1 species